rnacentral:rRNA from 1 species
AUUGAACGCUGGCGGCAUGCCUAACACAUGCAAGUCGAACGGUAACAGACCGCUGGGAUCCCUUCGGGGUGACCUUGGUGCUGACGAGUGGCGGACGGGUGAGUAACACUUGGGAAUCUGCCCAGUAGUGGGGGACAACCCGGGGAAACCCGGGCUAAUACCGCAUACGCCCUACGGGGGAAAGGGGGCCUCUUCUUGAAAGCUCUCGCUAUUGGAUGAGCCCAAGUCGGAUUAGCUUGUUGGUGAGGUAAAAGCUCACCAAGGCGACGAUCCGUAGCUGGUCUGAGAGGACGAUCAGCCACACUGGGACUGAGACACGGCCCAGACUCCUACGGGAGGCAGCAGUGGGGAAUAUUGGACAAUGGGCGAAAGCCUGAUCCAGCAAUGCCGCGUGUGUGAAGAAGGCCUGCGGGUUGUAAAGCACUUUCAGUGGAGAAGAAAAGCCGGACGCUAAUACCGACCGGUCUUGACGUAACCUACAGAAGAAGCACCGGCUAACUCCGUG